AUGGAAUAACCAAUAUAAAAUUAUUAUUUUCUUGAUAAACGGAGAACACAAAGGCUCCAAACCUCUUUGAACAUCAUCAUAUGUUAGUGCAGGAUGCAACUAGGCAUUAAAACAAUAUUGUCAUAUUUUUUGAAAUUUUCUCAAAAUCUAUGGGCUAUAACCCCUACAAAUAUAUUCAGUUUUUGGUAAAUACUUUAUAUACUGAAUCCUGUAAUCUUUAGUGUUGUUUUAAAAUUUCCAACAUAUUCUACAUUUGUAUUAAUGUAUGCUAAACUCUUUUUCAUGGUAAAUGAGCAUCUUUCAAUAGUUUUUAUCAAAUAAUUUAAUAAAACUUCAUAAUAUUCCCUAAAUCGAAAAAAUAACCACUAUAAAGUUAUUAUUUUCUUGAUAAACGGAGAGCACAAAGGCUCCAAACCUCU
rnacentral:lncRNA from 1 species